rnacentral:tRNA from 1 species
GGGGGCUUAGCUCAGCUGGAAGAGCACCGGAUUCCAAACCCGGGUGCCGGGGGUUCGAGUCCCUCAGCCCCUGC